rnacentral:rRNA from 1 species
AGAGUUUGAUCCUGGCUCAGGACGAACGCUGGCGGCGUGCCUAAUACAUGCAAGUCGAACGAAGCUUUCUUUCACCGAAUGCUUGCAUUCACCGAAAGAAGCUUAGUGGCGAACGGGUGAGUAACACGUAGGCAACCUGCCCAAAAGAGGGGGAUAACACUUGGAAACAGGUGCUAAUACCGCAUAACCAUGAACACCGCAUGAUGUUCAUGUAAAAGACGGCUUUUGCUGUCACUUUUGGAUGGGCCUGCGGCGUAUUAACUUGUUGGUGGGGUAACGGCCUACCAAGGUGAUGAUACGUAGCCGAACUGAGAGGUUGAUCGGCCACAUUGGGACUGAGACACGGCCCAAACUCCUACGGGAGGCAGCAGUAGGGAAUCUUCCACAAUGGACGAAAGUCUGAUGGAGCAACGCCGCGUGAAUGAAGAAGGCCUUCGGGUCGUAAAAUUCUGUUGUCAGAGAGGAACGUGCGUGAGAGUAACUGUUCACGUAUUGACGGUAUCUGACCAGAAAGCCACGGCUAACUACGUGCCAGCAGCCGCGGUAAUACGUAGGUGGCAAGCGUUGUCCGGAUUUAUUGGGCGUAAAGGGAACGCAGGCGGUCUUUUAAGUCUGAUGUGAAAGCCUUCGGCUUAACCGAAGUAGUGCAUUGGAAACUGGAAGACUUGAGUGCAGAAGAGGAGAGUGGAACUCCAUGUGUAGCGGUGAAAUGCGUAGAUAUAUGGAAGAACACCAGUGGCGAAAGCGGCUCUCUGGUCUGUAACUGACGCUGAGGUUCGAAAGCGUGGGUAGCAAACAGGAUUAGAUACCCUGGUAGUCCACGCCGUAAACGAUGAGUGCUAAGUGUUGGAGGGUUUCCGCCCUUCAGUGCUGCAGCUAA